ensembl:lncRNA
GGGAAAAGUACAACUCCUAGAGUAACAUGUAAACACACGAGCACAGCGCAGACAACCCUUCCAGGCUGCAAGCAGAUGGGGAGGAGAGCAGGUCUUGGGAAGUCCUCCAGCAGGAAAGCGAAAGAAGGAGAUCCUGAUAAGGAAUACGGAACUAAUAAGCCACCACCAACCGAAAGAGUUUGGGAAAGGUCGGAAGGAGACACCGCAUGUCCGUCCACUUCCCAGAAUCCCUCUCGCUAGCAUCUAUCUUGGCUGAGCAAUGCGUGCACCACCAGGAAAGACUCUGAAUUAGAAUGAUCGGCCAAAGACCACUCAGAAACUAAUCCCAUCACCAUAAAACCCAGACUGUGAGCCAUGCGGCAGAGCAGUUCUUCUGGGUUCCCUUACCCUACUGCUCUCCACCCCGGUGCUCUUUCCCAAUAAAAUCUCUUGCUUUGUCAGCAGAUGUGUCUCCUCGGACAAUUCAUUUUCGAGUGUUAG